rnacentral:rRNA from 1 species
AUUGAACGCUGGCGGCAUGCUUUACACAUGCAAGUCGAACGGUAACAGGCCGCAAGGUGCUGACGAGUGGCGAACGGGUGAGUAAUGCAUCGGAACGUGCCCAGUCGUGGGGGAUAACUACUCGAAAGAGUAGCUAAUACCGCAUACGAUCUAUGGAUGAAAGCGGGGGACCGUAAGGCCUCGCGCGAUUGGAGCGGCCGAUGUCAGAUUAGGUAGUUGGUGGGGUAAAGGCUCACCAAGCCAACGAUCUGUAGCUGGUCUGAGAGGACGACCAGCCACACUAGGACUGAGACACGGCCCAGACUCCUACGGGAGGCAGCAGUGGGGAAUGUUGGACAAUGGGCGCAAGCCUGAUCCAGCAAUGCCGCGUGCAGGAAGAAGGCCUUCGGGUUGUAGACUGCUUUUGUACGGAACGAAACGGCUCUGGUUAAUACCCGGGGCUAAUGACGGUACCGUAAGAAUAAGCACCGGCUAACUACGUG